rnacentral:rRNA from 1 species
AUUGAACGCUGGCGGCAGGCCUAACACAUGCAAGUCGAGCGGAUGAAGGGAGCUUGCUCCUGGAUGCAGCGGCGGACGGGUGGGUAAUGCCUAGGAAGCUGCCUGGUAGUGGGGGAUAACGUCCGGAAACGGGCGCUAAUAUCGCAUACGUCCAGAGGGAGAAAGUGGGGGAUCUUCGGACCUCACGCUAUCAGAUGAGCCUAGGUCGGAUUAGCUAGUUGGUGGGGUAAAGGCCUACCAAGGCGACGAUCCGUAACUGGUCUGAGAGGAUGAUCAGUCACACUGGAACUGAGACACGGUCCAGACUCCUACGGGAGGCAGCAGUGGGGAAUAUUGGACAAUGGGCGAAAGCCUGAUCCAGCCAUGCCGCGUGUGUGAAGAAGGUCUUCGGAUUGUAAAGCACUUUAAGUUGGGAGGAAGGGCAGUAAGUUAAUCCCUUGCUGUUUUGACGUUACCAACAGAAUAAGCACCGGCUAACUUCGUG